GGUGGCUUCGUAUAGUGGUUAGUACAACACGUUGUGGUUGAAGAGAAUUACCAUUAACGUACCGUGUAAACCUGGGUUCGAUUCCCAGAGCCGCCA